rnacentral:rRNA from 1 species
AUUGAACGCUGGCGGCAGGCCUAACACAUGCAAGUCGCACGGAGUGGCAGACGGGUGAGUAAUGACUAGGAAUCUGCCUGGUAGGGGGGGAUAACGUCCGGAAACGGGCGCUAAUACCGCAUACUAUCAGAUGAGCCUAGGGCGGAUUAGCGAGUUGGUGGGGUAAAGGCCUACCAAGGCGACGAGCCGUAACUGGUCUGAGCGGAUGAUCAGUCACACUGGAACUAGGACCCGGUCCAGACUCCUACGGGAGGCAGCGGUGGGGAAGAUUGGACAAUGGGCGAAAGCCUGAUCCAGCCAUGCCGCGUGUGUGAAGAAGGUCUUCGGAUUGUAAAGCACUUUAAGUUGGGAGGCGUUACCAACAGAAUAAGCACCGGCUAACUUCGUGCCAGCAGCCGCGGUAAUAC